rnacentral:rRNA from 1 species
AGCGAACGCUGGCGGCAGGCCUAACACAUGCAAGUCGAACGAACUCUUCGGAGUUAGUGGCGGACGGGUGAGUAACACGUGGGAACGUGCCUUUAGGUUCGGAAUAACUCAGGGAAACUUGUGCUAAUACCGAAUGUGCCCUUCGGGGAAAAGAUUUAUCGCCUUUAGAGCGGCCCGCGUCUGAUUAGCUAGUUGGUGAGGUAAAGGCUCACCAAGGCGACGAUCAGUAGCUGGUCUGAGAGGAUGAUCAGCCACAUUGGGACUGAGACACGGCCCAAACUCCUACGGGAGGCAGCAGUGGGGAAUCUUGCGCAAUGGGCGAAAGCCUGACGCAGCCAUGCCGCGUGAAUGAUGAAGGUCUUAGGAUUGUAAAAUCCUUUCACCGGGGACGAUAGUGACGGUACCCGGAGAAGAAGCCCCGGCUAACUUCGUGCCAGCCGCCGCGGUAA